AAGGAAUUAUGUUAAGUGAGCUAAGUCAGAAAGAUAAAGAUGAGUAUGGGAUGAUCCCACUCAUCAACAGAAGUUGAGUAAGAAGAUCUGAAAGGGAAACUAAAAGCAGGACCUGACCAAAUUGUUCCAGAUGCCAUCAGGAUGCUGGCCAGGCUUCCCUGGAUUGAAGACCCCACCAAUGUGUCCUGGAGCUCAGCUUCCCCAGAGACACACCCUACUAGGGAAAGAGAGAGGCAGACUGGGAGUAUGGACCGACCAGUCAACGCCCAUGUUCAGCGGGGAAGCAAUUACAGAAGCCAGACCUCCCACCUUCUGCAACCCACAAAGACCCUGGGUCCAUGCUCCCAGAGGGAUAGAGAAUGGGAAAGCUAUCGGGGGAGGGGGUGGCAUAUGGAGAUUGGGUGGUGGGAAUUGUGUGGAGUUGUACCCCUCCUACCCUAUGGUUUUGUUAAUCAAUCCUUUCUUAAAUAAAAAAAAUUAAAAAAAAAGAA